GUUGUAAUUUUCUGAUUCUCGUUGUUACGUUUCAUCUCUGCUCUUUUCUAUACCUUCUGUAGGCGUAAGAGUGGAAUUUCAAGGUGUAUCGGGGACAAGAGAAGUUUGAUUGGAAAUAGGUCUUGGGCGUAAGAGUGGAAUUUCAAGGUGUAUCGGGGACAAGAGAAGUUUGAUUGGAAAUAGGUCUUGGGUUUCCCGGGUUCAAGAGAAGAUUCGUCGGAGAUACCUCUGUAGCGUAAGAGUGGAAUUUCAAGGUGUAUCGGGGACAAGAGAAGUUUGAUUGGAAAUAGGUCUUGGGCGUAAGAGUGGAAUUUCAAGGUGUAUCGGGGACAAGAGAAGUUUGAUUGGAAAUAGGUCUUGGGCGUAAGAGUGGAAUUUCAAGGUGUAUCGGGGACAGAGAAGUUUGAUUGGAAAUAGGUCUUGGGUUUCCCGGGUUCAAGAGAAGAUUCGUCGGAGAUACCUCUGUAGUAUGUUUAUUUCGUCUUCCUAUGAUCCUCCAUUUCGCACUGUUCUUCAUUCUUCUGUUUUGUCUUUGGGUGUUGUUUGUUGACUGCAAAUAUGUAUUAGAGAUUUAAUUUUCAAUCCUUUGAUUUAUUUGUUGGUUUCUGAGCUUCAUGUUGCGUUUUGUAAUGCUCGUUUCUUUCGUUUCGUAUCAGAAUAAUAUGAUUUGCUUUUAAUGAAAUUGUGUCUUAAGUUGUAAUUUUCUGAUUCUCGUUGUUACAUUUGAUCUCUGCUCUUUUCUAUACCUUCUGUAGGCGUAAGAGUGGAAUUUCAAGGUGUAUCGGGGACAAGAGAAGUUUGAUUGGAAAUAGGUCUUGGGUUUCCCGGGUUCAAGAGAAGAUUCGUCGGAGAUACCUCUGUAGCGUAAGAGUGGAAUUUCAAGGUGUAUCGGGGACAAGAGAAGUUUGAUUGGAAAUAGGUCUUGGGUUUCCCGGGUUCAAGAGAAGAUUCGUCGGAGAUACCUCUGUAGCGUAAGAGUGGAAUUUCAAGGUGUAUCGGGGAAGAGAGAAGUUUGAUUGGAAAUAGGUCUUGGGUUUCCCGGGUUCAAGAGAAGAUUCGUCGGAGAUACCUCUGUAGCGUAAGAGUGGAAUUUCAAGGUGUAUCGGGGACAAGAGAAGUUUGAUUGGAAAUAGGUCUUGGGUUUCCCGGGUUCAAGAGAAAAUUCGUCGGAGAUACCUCUGUAGUAUGUUUAUUUCGUCUUCCUAUGAUCCUCCAUUUCGCACUGUUCUUCAUUCUUCUGUUUUGUCUUUGGGUGUUGUUUUGUUGACUGCAAAUAUGUAUUAGAGAUUUAAUUUUCAAUCCUUUGAUUUAUUUGUUGGUUUCUGAGCU